rfam:Toxocara canis scaffold2, whole genome shotgun sequence.
CGGGCAGUAGCUCAGUGAUAGAGCUCUCGCUUUAUAUGCGGGAAGACCUGGAUUUGAUUCCUGGUUGCUUCC